rnacentral:rRNA from 1 species
UACGUAGGGACCGAGCGUUGUCCGGAAUCAUUGGGCGUAAAGCGCGUGUAGGCGGUCCGGUAAGUCCGCUGUGAAAGUCGGGGGCUCAACCCUCGAAUGCCGGUGGAUACUGUCGGGCUAGAGUGCGGAAGAGGCGAGUGGAAUUCCUGGUGUAGCGGUGAAAUGCGCAGAUAUCAGGAGGAACACCUAUUGCGAAGGCAGCUCGCUGGGACGUAACUGACGCUGAGACGCGAAAGCGUGGGGAGCAAACAGG